CUCAGGUACAGCGAUAGCUCUGGCCGGGUCAGCUUCCCCACUCUUGUCUGCUUCCUGAUACGGCUGGAAACCAUGGCAAAGGCAUUUCGCAACCUCUCCAAGGAUGGCAAAGGCAUCUACCUGACAGAAACAGAGUGGAUGAACCUGGUCAUGUACAGCUGAGGGGAGAAACCCAGCAGAGGCCUCUGGACCAGGUAAGACAUGGCAGCAUUAGAGUCCUUUCUCCUCCCUGUGAACAUUUCCCCCACUUUCUGUAAGAAGGACACUUGAGAUUCCUGGAAAUGCCCUCUCUGAGGCUUCAGAAAGUGUAUCUUCGGGAGCCGAGGCCCCAUUGCUCCUUGCUCCUGAAUUUCAAGGCCAAACGCUCAGAUUUCGUCCAGACACGUUCAUGAAAAAAGCAGCCCGAAAGUCGUGAAAGCG
rnacentral:lncRNA from 1 species